CGGCGGCGGGGGCGGUCGCGGGCGGCCGAGCCGCUCGGGCCCCGGCAGCGCUGCCCAUGGGGGAGUGCGGGGUGCCCCCCCAGGUCCAGCUCUUCCUCCGCGCCUGCGAGCAGGGCGAUUGCGAGACCGCUCGACGCCUCUUGGGGCUGCCCGGCGGCAGCGGCGACCCCGCGGCCCCCUCCUCCUCCUCGUGCGGCCCCGAGGAGACGGCGGCGGAGCCCCGCGGCGAAGCGUCGUCCCCGCCGAGCCCCGCCGUGCCCGUGGACUGCACGGACGAGGCCGGCAACACGGGGCUGCAGUUCGCCGCGGCGGGGGGGCACGAGCAGCUGGUGCGGUUCCUGCUGCGGAAGGGCGCCUCUGUGCAGAGCAGGAACCACUACGGAUGGAGCCCCCUCAUGCAAGCGGCCAGGUUUGGACAUCUAAGCGUGGCCCACAUCUUGCUGGAGAAUGGUGCUGAUCUCAAUGCACAGAACAAGUUAGGAGCCAGUGUCCUCACAAUGGCCUCCAGAGGCGGUCAUGUCAGCAUGGUGAAAUUGUUGCUGGAAUCUGGAGCUUUUGUGGACAAUUACGACCAUUUUAGCACAAAUGUACUUAACAGCAGCAGAGAUGACCUUCCCGAUAUCACUCCACUGAUGGCAGCUGCUCAGCAUGGACAUGAGGCAGUGGUACAUCUGUUGCUAGACUGGGGAGCUGAUUGUAACUACACUAUCAAGACCAUGGGCUGGAGCCCUUUAAUGCUGGCAGCCGUUAGUGGAAAGGUGAGCUUGGCACAGCAGCUCAUGGACAAAGGUGCCAAUCCUGAUCACUUGAACGUACUACAUAAAACACCUUUUGAAAUCUCUGUUGGCUUCAAACACAAAGACAUGAAGGACUAUUUGGAAUCUCUCACAACGAUUAGGCCUCAGGCAGAUGCAGAAAAGAGGCAACCUGAUAUCUUUCAUGCUUUGAAACUGGGAAACUUCCAGCUGGUUAAAGAGAUCAUUGAUGAAGAUCUGAGUCAAGUUAAUAUUACCACUGUUGAUGGUGCAUCUCCUUUAAUGAUUGCGGCUGUAACUGGACAGCUGCCCCUUGUUCAGCUCCUUGUUGAGAAAAAGGCUGAUAUUGAUAAGCAGGAUAAUGUUCAUGGCUGGACAGCACUAAUGCAGGCCACGUACCAUGGAAACAAAAAUGUUGUUAAGUAUUUGUUAAAUCAAGGAGCUGAUGUUAACCUUCGUGCGAGAAAUGGAUACACAGCUUUUGACCUGAUAAUGCUGCUGAAUGAUCCAGAUACAGAGCUUGUGAGGUUACUGGCAUCAGCAUGCAUGCAAGUAGAUAAAGACAAGAAUAAAGUGAACAACAAAUCAUCACUGCCUCGUUCCAGAAGUAGGCAAUCCUUAAAUGUCCCAAUGUUGCCAGAUGACAAAGGAGGCCUAAAGUCCUGGUGGAGCAGAAUGUCCAAUCGAUUCCGCAAGCUGAAGUUGACUCAGACAUUGCGCCAUGGAUUUCCUUCUAAUCAGUUUGUGCCUUUUCCGGAUGAGACUGAACCAUCAUUAAAUUCCACUAUAAAAGUAGCCUCACAGAGUGAUACAGACAUCUCUGGAAACCUUGAUGCUGCUACAGCUUGGAAUACAAAUAGCAAAGCUAGUGGUGCAAACACUGUGAAAGGAGAAAAGGAUGAUGAAUUAUUGACAACUAUGCUGAGGAGUAGUGCUCCAUUUACCAGGCUGCCCAGUGAUAAGCUGAAAGCAGUGAUACCACCUUUCUUACCACCCUCAAGCUUUGAGCUUUGGAAUUCUGACCGAACCCGACUCGGCAAAGAUGGCAAAGCUGAACAGAUGAGAACUGCCUGGCCACAGAGAGCAGUCAAGCACGAUUUUAACAGCAGUGGGAACUCUGAUAUAACAUCUGUUAGCAAAGGUACUAGACCAGUCAAAUUGCCAACAUUUGCAAGAAGACCAGCAUCUCCUUCAAAUUCCAAUAACUUCAACCAUUCUCCCCAUUCUUCUGGUGGAUCUAAUAACAUUGCAGGAAUUAACAGGCAUGGAGGAGAACUGCAUAACCGAUCAGGUGGCAGUGCAGAUAAUGUUUUGUCUCAGAUUGCAGCCCAAAGAAGAAAAGCAUCAGGCUUACCUGAACAGAAACCCAGCCAACAGCACAGUCCAGUCCAGUCAACUCCUUCAUCUACCACAUCAGAUUCGCAGCGUGCUCAGAUUGUUGGCAAUGGACAUGUUGUAAAGCAAAAAUUGGAGAUGAACAAAAGACCUCCAUCUGGGACUUCAUCUACGUCUAAAAGCACAUCACCAACUCUUACACCUUCUCCAUCACCUUCCCCAUCUCCUAAGGUUCAAAACGCAGAGUCUUCUGUCUCUUCUUCUCACAGACACGCCAAGAGCAAUGGCUCCAGCAGUGGUACUAUUACAGAGGAUGGCAACCAUUUGGUGGACCAUCAACAACUUGGCCCUAUACUGAGAGCUAGUGACAUAGAGAAUUAUGAAAGACGAAACCAUGUGAGAGUAAAAGAGGGCUCUGAAAACUUGGAAAAAGAUGAGCUGACUGGCCUCCUUAAAAAAUUGUCACUUGAGAAAUAUCAGCCUAUAUUUGAGGAACAGGAGGUGGAUAUGGAAGCUUUCCUCACACUUACUGAUGGUGAUUUGAAAGAGUUGGGAAUUAAAACGGAUGGAUCAAGGCAGCAAAUUUUGGCAGCUAUUUCUGAACUGAAUGCAGGAAAGGGUCGAGAGAGACAGAUUUUACAAGAAACUAUACACAACUUCCACUCUUCCUUUGAGAGCAGUGUUAGUAACACACGACCGCCAGGUCACUCCCAAUCGUAGUCAGCAUGUGUGGGAACUUCUGGAUUUCUCUUGGUAACAUCCCAGAGCUGAAGAGCCUCUUCUGUAGGUAUGACUAGGUGAGCAGAAGCUGUUUGGGAUUUGAUUACGUGGUGCAAAGAACUGGAAUUACUCAGGAACCAAAGAAGCAUAGAGGUGUAAUGUAUCUCCAAACAACUUGCUGACCUUAAGUGUCUUGAAGACAUCAAAGGACAAGAAUGGUGGCUCAGAGCUGGGGAGAACAUCCUUUUGUAAGAAUGGAGGCAACAGUUGCUCCUGUUGAGCUUUUGACAAGAGACUGCAAGAAGGCUACCAUCAGAGGUCUGGCUUUUGGGUUUUUGUGUAUGAGAGCUCCAUGAUACAGAUUUGGCUGUGAAACAGAAACAGAAGCACUAAGAGAGAAGAGGAAGACAACAUGUAGCUAAAAGAAAUUUCUGCACCAGCUCCUGGAUGCUCUUUAAAACCACAAGAAGCCGUUUCUUCUAAAAGGUAGCUACUGGAACAAAAGUGGUUUUUAUUUUUCAUGGUGAAGUCCAGCAUCUGACUAAGUAAAUCUCUACAAAUGAAAAUUUGAAAAGCUAGUCCUGACUACACUGACAUAGGAUUUUCUGCAGUAACGUGCUUAAAAUACAAAACCUACAGAAAGGCAAAGCAAAUAACAAAGAGGUUGCCUCUAUAGUUCAACCUAAGUGUUGAAUUGUUCAAGGCAUCAAUGGUCUGAAUUUAGGAAGAGCAAAGUCAGAAGAGCAGGAAGAAUGGGUGAAGAUGCAAGAAGAUGGAUGUUUCAUUCCAGUCUUGCCCAUAGAUGAAGAGCCCACAGGAGACCAACAUGGGCACAAGUCAAGAGGAACAAAAGCAUGGAAGAAGGCAAGAAGGUCACCACAAAUUGUGACCCCUUCUACAUGGGGAAAUACAUAAGCUGAAUAUGCCUCUUUUGAUUGGAUACCGAUAAAGUAGUCUAGAUUGAAAAUGUAAUGAUUUCAUGGGAAGAAAUAUAAAGGAGAAGUAAUGCUGCAUUCUUCAAUAACCAAAAUAUAUUUUAUCUAUUCAAUAUUAUGAGGUUAGAACAGCAGUAAAAGUAAAAACAAAAUACCUAUUUGUAAAAACAGCACUUUAUUUGAGUAAAUGCAUAAUCUGUCACCAAUAUUUAAACUGAAAGAAUGUUAAAAUAUUUUAUAUUGUUGACUAUUUUUUAAAAAUAAAACCAUUUACAUGA